rnacentral:lncRNA from 7 species
CUCGAAUGGCGUGGGUAGGCCCGUGUAGAGUUCUUAUUCUUUUCUUUUCCUUUUUCCCCUCUAUCCAAAUCCAACUUCCUUUCAAAUUUUAAAUUCAAAUCUUGUGACAGAUGUCUUCAUAUUAUAUUGGGUAGUUAAGGUACUAACUUUGAGCAUAUAAUUCUAUAUAUUUUAUGUAAGUUUUAUACUCUUUAUCUCUUUCUUUUCUCACUUUCUAGUUUCAAAUCCAAACUUCAAUUUAGGGUUUAAUCCAAAUCUCCAAUCAUUAUUAUAUUAUUGUUAUUAUUUAAUGCACAAACAUACAAACUCCAACAUGAUGCAUGUUUAUAUUUUUAUUAGUUAUUUGUUGACUUACAUAAGGUGUUUUCAUGUUGUAAUGAGUGGAAUGCAAAACAAUUAAGGAACAUCUCUCCUUUCUUAGGUUUUACAAUUUGGGUAUUACAGGGGCGGCCAUGGCAGGCGUCGAGGCCGGAUGGGAUGCGCAGCACCGGAGGCGGCAGGAAACGACGACGGUGUCGAGGCGGAGCCGGCGUGGUGGUCGGUGGCGCUGGCGUCGGGGCGGAGGGCCGGAAAUGGCAUCGAGCGGCAGAGUCGGGGGCGGCCAUGGCCGCCAACGAGGCCCAAUGGGCUAUGCAGCACUGGAGACAGCGG